rnacentral:rRNA from 1 species
AGGACGAACGCUGGCGGCGUGCUUAACACAUGCAAGUCGAGCGGAAAGGCCCUUCGGGGUACUCGAGCGGCGAACGGGUGAGUAACACGUGAGCAAUCUGCCCUUAGCUUCGGGAUAGCCCCGGGAAACCGGGAUUAAUACCGAAUAUGACCUCGGCCGACAUCGGCCCUGGUGGAAAGUUUUUCGGCUAGGGAUGAACUCGCGGCCUAUCAGCUUGUUGGUGGGGUAAUGGCCUACCAAGGCGACGACGGGUAGCCGGCCUGAGAGGGCGACCGGCCACACUGGGACUGAGACACGGCCCAGACUCCUACGGGAGGCAGCAGUGGGGAAUAUUGCGCAAUGGGCGAAAGCCUGACGCAGCGACGCCGCGUGGGGGAUGAAGGCCUUCGGGUUGUAAACCCCUUUCAGCAGGGACGAAGCGAAGUGACGGUACCUGCAGAAGAAGCGCCGGCUAACUACGCGCCAGCAGCCGC